UUUUACAAUGUUUUUUAAAUCAUGAAAAAAAUAAUUUAAAAUAACAAAAUAAAUGUAUAAUAAGACAAUAAUAAUUGUAUUAAAAAACAAAGUUAAUAACUAUCUAAAAGUCUGAAUAUUAGUAAAGUCAUAAGAUGUCCUCUAUUGUUUUAAAAAAUAACCAAUGAAAUAAUUCAAUAAAUGCACCAACACAUUAGGGAGUGAAUUUAUCGCUUCGGAAAAGAGCGCCGAUGACUCCGGACAAGUGUUUUUUGUAAGAAUGUGAAUGAAACCAAUAAGAGACACAAUGUCUUAUUUCUCUCCUAAACACAAGCAGGAAGCAGAAGGUGGACGGCCUGAUGCCAAAAAGUAAUUAGGAGGAAAAAGGCUUUCAAGUCGCUGUGUGGGUCACCACCUAACAAAAGAGCCUCUUGUCCACGCACGACACAUUGAUUAAGAGGACAUGGCGUGCAAGUGUUUGUGUGUGUGUGUGUGUGUGUGUGUGUGUGUGUGUGUGGCAUAAGGCGAGGAGUCGUAACAUCCCCCCCCCCCUCCCAUUUGGCGGCCCAAAAAAAUCCCAACAGGACACAAAAGAGCAUGGGGGCAUUAAGUCACGGGUGAGUGGACCCCUUUAGGACGAGCAGCUGACCCUGUGGAGAGGCCUCUUGUUCUGGCUGAGGGGGGGCUCGUGUCCCUGGACCCCUGGAACAAGAUGAAGCAGCGGGAUCUCACCUGUCACACGCACCUGAGAACCUCUCGGAUGUCUUCUUCGAGAAAAGCAAGAGGCUGCGGCUGGAAAAAAAGAUGAGCAUCCUUAGAACUUGAGUUUGAAUGAGAUGCUGAGUUCAAUUACCUCCAUCUUUAACGGGCCGUGCAUCUUCUCCUGAGCUGCUAGAGCAUUCUUGAAAGGAGUCGGGGUCCUCGGUAUCGGAAUGGUGACGCUUUUACGGAACUUUGGCGUCCUGGAACUGGGAAAAAAAAAAGUUACAGGUGUUGACUCCUUGUGGAGUGGCGUGUUGUGGAAACAUCUGUGUCCACAAACGGGUGUUGACGUGAGCGCCGGGUUGUCCAAACUCAAAUGCUCUGCCGCUGAUACAUUGCAGAACUGCAAGAAGAUAAGUCGUGAUGGUCACAUGACAAGUUGAGCUCGGUUUACCGUCCAGGAAGGAGCUUAGAGAUCUCUGCCCAACGGUUCCCCAGACGCUUGUGGGCCUCAUAGAUGAUCCGAUCCUCCUCCUGAGUCCAGGAGGACUUCUUCACUUCAGGGUUGAGGUGGUUGUGCCAGCGCUCGCGACACUGCUUGCCGAUCCUGCCUUGAAGGUGCUUUGCGAUCACGGACCAGCGUUUGGGCCCGUACUUGUGGACCAGGUCGAUGACCUGCACAAAAAUACACCAGCAAUAUUUUUCCCUUAAGGGUCAAAAAAAAAAUGUAAUUUUUACCCAGCUUUUCUUCCCGUCACUCACAUACCAGUAACCUGUGGAGAUGCAGCUGCGACACAGACGCAUUAGACAAACCUGAAGUGGUCCAUCGCCUAAAUUUUAAGCAUGUCCACACAUGUCCACGUCACUGGUGUGUGUGUGACAGGAAGAAAAGCUCUGACUCAUCUGUUUGCAUGUACUAUAAACCUCCAGAUCCCAAAUAUAUGAUGCCCUGUCGUAUACAGACUGUUUUCUCGGGAAUAAAGGCCGAGGUGAGGGCUGCACGGCGGUCGAGUGGUUAGCGCGCAGGAGACCCGAGUUCAAUCCCACCCUCGGCCAUCUCUGUGUGGAGUUUGCAUGUUCUCCCUGUGCAUACUCCGGUUUCCUCCCACAUUCCAAAAACAUGCUAGGUUAAUUAGCGACUCCAAAUUGUCCAUAGGUAUGAAUGUGAGUGUGAAUGGUUGUUUGUCUAUAUGUGCCCUGUGAUUGGCUGACGAUCAGUUCAGGGUGUACCCCACCUCUCUCGCCCAAAGACAGCUGGGAUAGGCUCCAGCACCCCCGCGACCCUCGUGAGGAUAAGCGGUAGAAAAAGAAUGAAUGAAUUAAUGAGAAAGACUUGGUUGCACGGUGGUCGAGUGGUUAGCACACAGGCCUCACAGCUAGGAGACCCGAGUUCAAUCCCACCCUCGGCAAUCUCUGUGUGGAGUUUGUGGGUUUUCUCCGGGUACUCCGGUUUCCUCCCACAUUCCAAAAACAUGCUAGGUUAAUUAGCGACUCCAAAUUGUCCACAGGUAUGAAUGUGAGUGUGAAUGGUUGUUUGUCUAUAUGUGCCCUGUGAUUGGCUGGCCACCAGUCCAGGGUGUACCCCACCUCUCUCGCCCGAAGACAGCUGGGAUAGGCUCCAGCACCCCUCGCGACCCUCGUGAGGAUAAGCGGUAGAAAUGAAUGAAUGAAUGAAUAAAGGCCGCAGUGAUGAUGUCAUGGAGCAACGUUUUUUGGCAGGAAGUAAGUCAGCAUCACCUUCUGUCCCCCCCACCCACCUAUCACUUAACAAUAUUUGCGUGCUCAAGACAGGACACUCCCAGCUCCUCUUACCUUCUGAUCCUCCUCCUUUGUCCACGGCCCUUUCACCAGCUCUGGGUUGAGCACCUUCUGCCAGCGGUGCUGACACUGACCAUCUGUCCUCCCCUGUCAUGUCAUACGUGUGACGGAGACACCUCAUUGGUUGGAGUACAGCGACUCGAUGCGUAAGUAAGUGGACGUCUGUUUACAAUCCGGCAUACUUACAGGGAAAUAGUUUGCUAUUAAUUUCCAGGAGUCCGUGCCAUGUUGCUCCACGAGCUUUUUCAGUUUGUCAUCCUUGGAGACAAACACAAGAGGAACUCUCACAAUGUAUUAUGUGCCAGAAAAUCCACAUAAAGUACAGCUUACCUCAUCGCGGGACCACUUCACUUUACACAAAACCUUCUUGUCUUUAGUCCUCUCUUUAGUGUCUGGAUCGGAGUGGAGCUCUUCAUCCUCAUCGUGACUGCAAGGACGCAGUUUGUUAUUAUUAGAUGAGCCAACAGUAACACGGAAGGAAUGAUGUCAUGGAUAUGAUAUAUGACACAGAGGGGGCCAUUAAUUAGCAUUAUGCAUCAACAAGUGAGG